rnacentral:rRNA from 1 species
GUGCCAGCCGCCGCGGUAAGACAGAGGUGCCAAGCGUUAGGCGGAAUCACUGGGCUUAAAGCGUGUGUAGGCGGACCGUUAAGUGCCUUGUGAAAUCCCCCGGCUCAACCGGGGAAUUGCUUGGCAUACUGGCGGUCUUGAGCUGCCUAGGGGUCGCUGGAACAAACGGUGGAGCGGUGAAAUGCGUAGAUAUCGUUUGGAACGCCAAAGGUGAAAACAGGCGACUGGGGGCAAGCUGACGCUGAGACACGAAAGCCAGGGGAGCAAACGGGAUUAGAUACCCCUGUAGUCC